rnacentral:rRNA from 1 species
UACGAAGGGGGCUAGCGUUGCUCGGAAUCACUGGGCGUAAAGCGCACGUAGGCGGCUUUCUAAGUCAGGGGUGAAAUCCUGGAGCUCAACUCCAGAACUGCCUUUGAUACUGGAGAGCUUGAGUCCGGGAGAGGUGAGUGGAACUCCGAGUGUAGAGGUGAAAUUCGUAGAUAUUCGGAAGAACACCGAUGGCGAAGGCAGCCAUCUGGACCGACACUGACGCUGAGGCGCGAAAGCGUGGGGAGCAAACAGG